rnacentral:lncRNA from 1 species
GCCCUUCCCGGUGCCCACCGCGGCCCUGCCUGGGCUGCCGGCCUCGAAAGCCCUCUGCUCCCCGAGCCAGCUGAGCUGCGAUAGCGGGGAGUGCCUGCCGGCCGAGCGACGCUGUGACCUGCGGCCUGACUGCCAGGACGGCUCUGACGAGGACGGCUGUGGUACGGACCUGGCCAGGGGACACCUCUGAGGGCCCCGCUCCUGCACGAGCCCCCUCUGAGUCCUGCGCACCCAUCCCCUUGCAGUGGACUGUGGGCUGGCGCCCUGGUCUGGCUGGAGCAGCUGCAGCCGCAGCUGUGGGCUGGGCCUCGCCUUCCAGCGCCGGGACCUGCUGCGGCCUCCCCUGCCUGGGGGCACCUGCCCGUCCGACAGGCUCCGCAGCCAGCCCUGCUUCCUGCAGGCCUGCCCAGGUGACUGGCACCCAGGCCUCCUCAGGACCCCGCCUCCCCCGCCCCUCCGCCCCCGGAAGGGACACCUGGGGUGGAUUCCUAUCCGAGAGCCACCUGGGGGAGUGCCCUUGCGCUCUUGGGGACCCUGGUGUCUGGGCUCCUCUCCACGACUCUAGGGGGACAGCCCCUUCUGAAGUCACAGCCUCGUACCUCCAAAGGGCUUAGGAGGAAGGCUGCCCCUGGCCUUGCCCUUUUCCUGCCUGAGUGGCCCUGGAUGGGUUCCUACCCUCUAGUGUGGGGACUGGAUCGGUAAAGUUGUUUCCACUUCAGAGUGAGGGUGUUCCCAGGCUGUGCCUAAGGCCUCCUAGCCCUUGUGUUCUGCAGGUGCGAGGGAGUAGUCCCGACCUUUGCCUCUGCUCCAGAGAGGGGUUUCCCACACCUGGUCUCCUAACCUGGUUUUUUCUGCUGCCACCAGGAGGAGCCCCGCUCCAGUCUCCCCACUGCCCCAGCCCUUUUCCAGGGACCAGAGCCUUCAUCCUGGGAGGCACCUAGAGAUCUUUGCUCAAGUCCCUCCACCAAGGGGAGGUUUCCUGGGACAGGAGAAGAGCCUGUUGAGUCCCCGUGGUGCUGCCCUAGGCCACCUAGCUGGCCACCACACAGGCCCCUUCUCUACCCUGCCACCUUGCUUUCUCCAGCGCGGUCUGAGUCUCCUUGGGCUCACCUGGUCCGCCUCCAUCCUUUUUCCCCCCACAGUGGCUGGGGUGUGGGCUGUGUGGGAGGCCUGGGGGCCCUGCAGCGUCUCCUGUGGGGGUGGCCACCGAAGUCGGAGGAGGAGCUGCGUGGAUCCUCCGCCCAAGAAUGGUGGUGCUCCCUGCCCUGGGGCCUCCCAAGAGCGGGCACCCUGUGGCUUGCAGCCCUGCACGGGUGACACAGGUAAGGGAGCAGGGCUGGGCAGGGGCAUCCAGGGAUGGAGCCCUGUGGGGGUGGGGCUGUUAGGGAAGGUCACCGGGCCUCCUGCCACCCGCCCCACCUAGUGUCCCUCUCCCACCAGACUGUGGGCUGGGCCGUGUUCACAUCAGUGCUGAGCUGUGCCAGCAGGGGCUGGUGCCACCAUGUCCGCCGUCCUGCUUGGAUCCUGAGGCCAACAGAACCUGCAGUGGACGCUGUCUGGAAGGUGAGGCACACCCAGCAGUCAGGGUGCGGCAGACAGAGCCCUCGGGAGGAGGAUACUCACCAGCCUUCGGUCUCCAGCCUCCCCGCCCCACUGCCCCCCUGCGUGGGGCUGAGUGCCCUCCUGCCUCCACCCCAGGAUGCCGCUGCCCCCCUGGGCUUCUCCUCCAUGAUGGCCGCUGCCUGCCCCUCUCUGAGUGCCCUUGCCUGGUGGGCGAAGAGGUGAAGCAGCCGGGGGUGCCCUUCCUCCUGGACAACUGCAGCCGCUGGUGAGGAUGUCUGCUGUGGCAGGGAGUGCCUGGGUCAGGGGACCAGCCCCUCUCCACGCCCCCCUUCCCAGUCCUGACCUCCUCGGCCUCUCCCUCCCCUGCAGCGUGUGCGAGAAAGGGGUCCUGGUGUGCGAGCCCGGGGGCUGCCCUGUGUCCUGUGGCUGGUCAGCUUGGUCCUCCUGGGGUCCCUGUGACCGCUCCUGUGGCUCUGGGGUGCGAACUCGGUUCAGGUGUGCAGGACGGAGCCAUUGUGGCGGGGGUAGGGGGCAGGGAGAGGAAUAUGGGAGAAGGAAGGGAAGGGGUGCUGGAGGGUAGAGAAGGUGACGGUUGGAGAACAGGUGACCGGGAAGACAGGAAUGAGGGCAGGCAGAGGAGAGCGGGUGCCCAGGCCGCCUAUCCCCCCCAGGUCCCCUUCCAACCCUCCGGCUGCUUCUGGGGGUGCCCCGUGUGAAGGCAACAGGCAGGAGCUGCAGGCCUGCCACGUGGAAUGUGGGACAGGUAGGUCAGGAGCCCGGAUGGGAGCCUGCUACUCACCCCGCAACCCUCAUGCCUGCCUUCCUCCUCCCAAUUCCCACCCUGGGGACAGGGCAUGACCGAUUGGGCUGCCGGCCACCUACAUGGGGUAAGUGCGGCCUUCUGGUCCAGGAGGCAGCCCCAGAAGGGGCCUUGAUGCAUGGGGCUUUGUCGGGGACAAGACAGAGGGUGAGGCCCAGGCGGCACCCCCCCUCCCACAUGCCCAGCCCAGGCUGGUCUUGGGGGGCUGGGGUGUCCUGAGAGCAGGGGUGAAGCUGGUCCUGCUGGCCAAGUGAGUGAGGGUGGGGCAGGCAAUCAGGAGCACACAGAUGCCAGAUGAGGGAGCCCAGGCUGUUUCCCUCUUUCGUGGCCCAGGGUGUCCUCAGGCAGAGCAGGUGACGGCAGAGGUCUCUGCAGGCAGAUGGGACAGAGGCGAGAAUAGGAGUUGGGAGUGCGAGCAUGGGUCUGUGGGGUCUGGGCCAGGCUCUCAUAGCAGAGGAGGGAAGGAAGGGGGAAGGAAUGGCUGCUGGUGCACCGACAGGUGUCUUUGGCGACUGGGGUUUCUAGCAUGGAAGAGAAAUGAAGGAUGGGCGUUUAGAAGACUCUGGAUGCGUUGAUCUGGGGGAAAAUGUGAGGGUGGGUGGUGGACAUGAGGUGCCAGCCGAGCUCACGGGUAGAGUGUGGCCUGAGCUGGAGCUUGGCUGAGCAGGAGCUGUGCUUCGAGAGAGAGGCCUGGGCCUGGAGGUGGGGGGGGGGGGGGCUACCUUCCACUUUCGAGGGGCAGAGGCUUCUCAGACCUGACCCGGUCUCCCUCCCAGCUCUGCCAGGAACCCUGUGCAGAAGGCCUGUCCUUUUCUCCUCCAGAGACGCUGGGCUGGACGCUCUGGGAGCCCUGGUCCUCCUGCUCCAGGAGCUGCCUUACCCUUGGAGGAGGCCCUGGGUGGCGCAGUCGUUCCCGGCUCUGCCCCAACCCCGAGGACAACUCCUGCCCAGGAGAGGCCACCCAGGAGGAGCCCUGCAGCCCCCCUGUGUGCCCAGGUGUGCCCCCUCUGUCCCUGGAGUGGCCUGAGCACUAGGGUGGGAUGAGGAGCAAGGGAGAAGAAUGACCCCUUGGGCACCUGGGGCAGGGAGGCUAGAGCAAACCUAUUGUCCCGAAGAAUCUCCUCCACCCCCAGCCUGUGAUUCACAGGGUGGGCCGGGCCUGAAGGGACGUUUGGGACAGUCCUGGAGGCAUGGCCCUCCUGCACCCUGUCCCCUACCCGCACCUUUGCCGGCGUCCGUGAUGACGAACUUGGCUCUUCCUGACAGCGCAAAGCAUCUGGGGUCUGUGGGCUCCCUGGUCCACCUGCUCAGCCCCCUGUGAUGGGGGCAUCCAGGUUCGUGGGCGCAGCU